rnacentral:rRNA from 1 species
AGUGAAUAGAUACCCCGGUAGUCCCAGCUGUAAACGAUGCGCGUUAGGUGUAUCGGUGACCACGAGUCACCGAGGUGCCGAAAGGGAAACCGUGAAACGUGCCGCCUGGGAAGUACGGUCGCAAGGCUGAAACUUAAAGGAAUUGGCGGGGGAGCACCACAACAGGUGGAGCCUGCGGUUUAAAUCGGACUCAACGCCGGGAAGCUCACCGGAUAAGACAGCUGAAUGAUAGCCGGGUUGAAGACUCUGCUUGACUAGCUGAGAGGAGGUGCAUGGCCGUCGUCAGUUCGUACUGUGAAGCAUCCUGUUAAGUCAGGCAACGAGCGAGACCCACGCCAACAGUUGCCAGCAUGUCCUCCGGGAUGGUGGGGACACUGUUGGGACCGCCUCUGCUAAAGAGGAGGAAGGAAUGGGCAACGGUAGGUCAGCAUGCCCCGAAUUAUCCGGGCUACACGCGGGCUACAAUGGUCAGGACAAUGGGUAUCAACACCGAAAGGUGAAGGCAAUCUCCU